CUGAGUACGGCGGAACACGUGAAAUUCCGUCGGAAUCCGGGAGGACCAUCUCCCAAGGCUAAAUACUCCCUAGUGACCGAUAGUGAACCAGUACCGUGAGGGAAAGGUGAAAAGCACCCCGGAAGGGGAGUGAAACAGUUCCUGAAACCGUGUGCCUACAAGUAGUUAGAGCCCGUUAAUGGGUGAUAGCGUGCCUUUUGUAGAAUGAACCGGCGAGUUACGAUUUGUUGCAAGGUUAAGCGGAAAAAGCGGAGCCGUAGCGAAAGCGAGUCUGAAUAGGGCGCAUAAGUAACAGGUCGUAGACCCGAAACCAGGUGAUCUACCCAUGUCCAGGAUGAAGGUAAGGUAAUACUUACUGGAGGUCCGAACCCACGCACGUUGAAAAGUGCGGGGAUGAGGUGUGGGUAGCGGAGAAAUUCCAAUCGAACUUGGAGAUAGCUGGUUCUCUCCGAAAUAGCUUUAGGGCUAGCCUCGAGGUAAAGAGUCAUGGAGGUAGAGCACUGUUUGGACUAGGGGCCCUUCUCGGGUUACCGAAUUCAGAUAAACUCCGAAUGCCAUGUACUUAUACUCGGGAGUCAGACUGCGAGUGAUAAGAUCCGUAGUCGAAAGGGAAACAGCCCAGACCACCAGUUAAGGUCCCCAAAUAUAUGUUAAGUGGAAAAGGAUGUGGGGUUGCUUAGACAACCAGGAUGUUGGCUUAGAAGCAGCCACCAUUGAAAGAGUGCGUAAUAGCUCACUGGUCGAGUGACCCCGCGCCGAAAAUGUACCGGGGCUAAACAUAUUACCGAAACUGUGGAUGAACCUCUUUAGAGGUUCGUGGUAGGAGAGCGUUCUAAGGGCGGUGAAGUCAGACCGGAAGGACUGGUGGAGCGCUUAGAAGUGAGAAUGCCGGUAUGAGUAGCGAAAGAAGGGUGAGAAUCCCUUCCACCGAAUAUCUAAGGUUUCCUGAGGAAGGCUCGUCCGCUCAGGGUUAGUCGGGACCUAAGCCGAGGCCGAUAGGCGUAGGCGAUGGACAACAGGUAGAGAUUCCUGUACCAGUGCUAAUUGUUUAACCGAUGGGGUGACACAGAAGGAUAGGGAAUCGCACGAAUGGAAAUGUGCGUCCAAGCAGUGAGUGUGAGAAGUAGGCAAAUCCGCUUCUCGCGAAGCAUGAGCUGUGAUGGGGAAGGAAAUUAAGUACGGAAGUUCCUGAUUUCACGCUGUCAAGAAAAGCCUCUAGGAAGAGUAGUACUGCCCGUACCGCAAACCGACACAGGUAGAUGAGGAGAGAAUCCUAAGGUGAGCGAGAGAACUCUCGUUAAGGAACUCGGCAAAAUGACCCCGUAACUUCGGGAGAAGGGGUGCUCUAUUAGGGUGCAAGCCCGAGAGAGCCGCAGUGAAUAGGCCCAGGCGACUGUUUAGCAAAAACACAGGUCUCUGCAAAACCGUAAGGUGACGUAUAGGGGCUGACGCCUGCCCGGUGCUGGAAGGUUAAGAGGAGUGCUUAGCUUCGGCGAAGGUACGAAUUGAAGCCCCAGUAAACGGCGGCCGUAACUAUAACGGUCCUAAGGUAGCGAAAUUCCUUGUCGGGUAAGUUCCGACCCGCACGAAAGGCGCAACGAUCUGGGCACUGUCUCAACGAGAGACUCGGUGAAAUUAUAGUACCUGUGAAGAUGCAGGUUACCCGCGACAGGACGGAAAGACCCCGUGGAGCUUUACUGCAACCUGAUAUGGAAUGUUUGUACCGCUUGUACAGGAUAGGUAGGAGCCGAAGAGACGUGUGCGCUAGCAUACGAGGAGGCAAUGGUGGGAUACUACCCUGGCUGUAUGACCAUUCUAACCCGCCACGCUUAGCGCGUGGGGAGACAGUGUCAGGUGGGCAGUUUGACUGGGGCGGUCGCCUCCUAAAGAGUAACGGAGGCGCCCAAAGGUUCCCUCAGAAUGGAUGGAAAUCAUUCGCAGAGUGUAAAGGCACAAGGGAGCUUGACUGCGAGACUGACAAGUCGAGCAGGGACGAAAGUCGGGCUUAGUGAUCCGGUGGUUCCGCAUGGAAGGGCCAUCGCUCAACGGAUAAAAGCUACCCCGGGGAUAACAGGCUUAUCUCCCCCAAGAGUCCACAUCGACGGGGAGGUUUGGCACCUCGAUGUCGGCUCGUCGCAUCCUGGGGCUGUAGUCGGUCCCAAGGGUUGGGCUGUUCGCCCAUUAAAGCGGCACGCGAGCUGGGUUCAGAACGUCGUGAGACAGUUCGGUCCCUAUCCGUCGCGGGCGCAGGAAAUUUGAGAGGAGCUGUCCUUAGUACGAGAGGACCGGGAUGGACACACCGCUGGUGUACCAGUUGUUCCGCCAGGAGCAUCGCUGGGUAGCUAUGUGUGGCAGGGAUAAACGCUGAAAGCAUCUAAGCGUGAAGCCCCCCUCAAGAUGAGAUUUCCCAUUUCUUCGGAAAGUAAGAUCCCUGAAAGAUGAUCAGGUAGA
rnacentral:rRNA from 1 species